UGUCAUGAUCGUGUGCAGGAUUGGACAAAACAAGAUGGCAGACGGCAUUUCCAAACAAAGAUCCAGUCAGGAGCGGACUUCCUUAAGCUUAAAAGUUGCAAGUGAAUGAAGUGUGUUCUAUUUUAUGUCUCCUACUAAAACCAUGGUUUUGACAAACCUAAAAGAGCACUUGGUGCAAGGAACUAUCAAUAAGCCGGAAGAGACAGCUCGAAAAUCUUUAAGUGUUUGAGAAUUUCACCGCGCACAUGAAUCUAAAGUUCUGCCACACGUUAGAAGGAGCCUUGUUCUCGAAGAUCAACAUGCUGGAAAGUCUUCAUUUUGCAGAAGCAAAUACAUUUAUAUUGUACAAGGUGAAGAUAACGAACAGUCAUCAAUCUCAUAACUCCUACAAGCAAUACAAAAUAGAUAGUUGGGCAAACACGGACCCCUGGACACACCAGAGGUGGAAUCAGGCGCCUAGGAGGAGUAAGCAUACAUGUAGACCAUGUUCGAUUCCCAACCACUUAACAUUUGUGAUAUCUGCAUGGAAUUAUUAAAACUGAGCAUGGUUUGACGUACAUGUAUAAUAAUCUCUUCAGGCAUGAUGGUUUACAUUUCACAAAGCUGUUCAAUGACAAUAAAGACAAUAAUAUAAGAUGUUGAGGUGUUCAUGUUUUCAAUACUUAAUGAUCUGUCCACAUGCAUUUGUGCCUUUCAUAUGUAUGCUUCUGCUGGAACCAGUUUUGAUUGUUAAAGCGGGAUUUAUUAUCUUUUGAAAAAUUUCCCUAUCAUUUUAAUUCUAAUAAUCUUGAGUGCAUAUGUCGGUUUGUUGGAAUGUAGCAAAUAUCAGCAUUUUUGUAUUUCAAAA